CAACUAUGUACUGGGGGGCUUUGGGAAGAAAAAAAAAGAAGACUGACAACAGUUGUUAGCUCAGGUGCCAAUCUUUAAAAAAAUAAAAAUAAAAUGUAAAUAUGCCAAAAUCUGAGCUGAAAAGACCAGGAUUCACGCUUAAUUAUAGCUAAUCUAGAUUUUCUCUCUCACAAGCAUACUUUUCUGCAACAGAGUUCCCCUUCCAACUGGAGACAGCAUAACCUACUGAUCCGGAAGACUCAGGUUCUAUUCCUAGUUUUAUCACCGACUUACAAAUCACUCUCAGAGUUUCCUCAUCUUCGAAAUAGGACAACAGUCCUACCAAUCUCAGCAAAGAGCACUGAGGAUAAUCCAGAGCUUUGAUUUCAAUGCUUGGUUCCCUGAAGAUUUUCUUACCUUUCCUGUGGUCUGUCCAUAAAGCCCAAAAAUCUCACGGAGUUUUUCUUCACUGAUUGCAUCUGUUCUGUCAAUUUUGUUACCCAAAAUAAGGAUUGGCACAUUGGAUAUUGUCUCAUCAGUCAUUAACGCCUAGACGAGAUAAAGAGGAGCUGAGUGAAGAUGUGCGCGAGCCCACUAGGUCAUGGAGCGACUGUGACUUCCACUUGUCUGUAACGCAGCAGACGUAAAGCGGAAAUGCGAUCAUCUUUAGACCUGAGCGAUCAACUAAAAGUUCAUCUUGACAUUAUAUAACACCCUUAGCAUUACAUAAAAAUUACCUUGACAUUAGGUAAAUAUCCUCAAAACAAUUUCAACUUAAGGCUGUAUCUAUUUACAAGGCAGCAGAACUGCCCAACCUUAACUGUGAGCUAAAUCACUCACCAAAGACCAUCCUCGGGCUACCCACUGAGCACAAUCCUCCGAGAGCGAAUGCUCUGACUCCAGAGCCUCAGAGAUGGCUACAGGACCCCCCAAGGAUUUACUGAGUGCCCCAUGUGUGCAAAGAGCAAUCUCAGGCACUGAGAGGGCUACAAAAGAAAGGAUGAGACACAUUCCUGGCCUCAAGAAAUCCUCACUCUACGUUCACAUAUCUGUCAACAAAGCAAGGCAAGUGGAUGAUUAAGUGUCACAACAAGUGGGGACAGAAUAUAAGUACUUAAAAGACGUUCAGGGAAAUAAAAUGGCAAGGUGGGCUUGAGGGAAGUCUAAUUAGCAAAGAGGUGGAACCUAAACUGGGCUCUGAAGGAGGGGGAGGAUUUCAAUAGGUGGAAAGGAGAAGGAAGAAUACAAGCAAUGGCUUUACAGUAGGAAAAGAAUUCAGGAAGCCAGAUGGAGUACCACCCGACUGGAUUAAAGCAUUUACACUGACAUGUAAUGACAGAGUAAAUGGGAUGGGAAGCGAUGACCAACAUCAUGGCAUCAGUCUGAGAAGCUAGCUGCAACAGAUCCUAAAGACCCUAAAUUCAGAAAUUACUGGAUAGAAUCUGCACUUUUAGUACAAUGAAUUCACAAACAGUAUCUAUCUGUGGUGCUCAAGCAAGAGAUGAUGAUCUAGCCUAAGAUGGAAGCAUGUAAUAAAUAGUGUAGCAGGCAUUUUGAAGAAGUGAAGAGACUGAUGUCUAAAUGACAAGAGACGAGGAGUCAAAGCUGACAGAUUUCAAGCCUGGGAAUCUAGUUCUCACUGAUAGGAAAAGCUAGGAAAGGAGAGUGGAGUUGAAGGAAUAAAGGGGAACAUGCUUUGACCAUCUUCAGUUCCAGGAGAUGUUACACAAAAUCAAAGUAAGGAUGUCAUUCAUUUAUUAAAUACUAACAAAGUACCUACUAUGUAUCCAAUGUUUUGCUAGGUGCAGAGGUUUCACAAAGAAAUAAGAUAAGGUCCUUACCAUCUAAAUUCAUGGUCCAGCGGGACAGACCUAUACAAAACCAGUAAAUACAACAGACACUGAUAAGGUGCAGAGUCUAACAGUCUGAGAGGUCAGGAAAGGAUUCCUAGAAAUGCUCAUAUCUGAACUCUGAGAUCUCUUAAAAGACAUUUCGAAAUUUACCAGCAAAUGGAGGUAGGGGGUCAGGUAAGAAAGCCAGGCAGGGAUAACUACUUCCGUAUACUUAAGGAAGGACAAGUUGUUCUCUAUGUCUCAAAUAUAGUUCAAGGUAGGCAGUAGAGAGAAAAGAAGUUGGAGAAAUAAAUAGAGGAAAGAUCGUGAAAGAUCCUCUGUGCUGUGCAAAAGAUUUGUGGAUUUCAUCCCAAAGGUGACAGAGAUUAACGGAUAUUAAGUAGGGCAAUGACAAGUCUGAGAAAGUUCCUUCUACUGGAAGCUACACUAAUUCACAGGAUUCUGGAUUGUGUACCCAGGUAGAUGAUGGGAAAGAUGAAUAGUUCCAUUCUAGGAGAACAGAUUGGUAGGUGGAGCUGUCUAGUAGCCUGCAUUAAGUAUGAGGCUGGAGCUCAAGAGAGGUUUAGACGAGAGAAAUCCAUUUGGGAGUCAUUAGCAUGGGGGUGGCAGAUGAAGGAAAGGAGUAGCCUGGACUAGCCUAGGAGAGAGUACAGACUCUGGGGAACACCAAGAUUUAAGGCCUAAGCAGAGGAACAGGGGCUUAUGAAAGAGCUUGUGAGGUACUGGCCAGAGACAGAGCACCCAAACCAAGAAUGUAAAGGGGAGUUUAAAGAAAGAAAGAAUGGCCAGUGCCAAGAGGUCAAGUAACGGAAGGACUGCCUUGCAGGUGAUUCUACAUGAGACUAGAACUAUGGAUUCAAGAAACAUACUUACAAACAAACUUGAGACAGGUUCAAACUGCCAGGACCAAGAGUGCAGAGAGAGAGUUAAAUCACAGAGAAAGAAGAGGCGCAGGGUGAAGCAGUAGGGAUAAUAAAGGCAACAUUACAGAAAUUGUCAAGGCAAGAAAAUGCACUGUUGAGAAAAGAAAAAACUUGAAGCAAGUCCUUGAUAGUACCAAACGCUGCACAAGACCAAAACUGAAGACAGAACAGACUGCUAAGUGCAAAGGUGGGCAGGUACAAGCUGAGAAUGUAGAUCUAAAAAUGUAAAGAAUUCUAAUCCCUCUUUCAAGUUUUCACUAUGCCCACACUUCAUCAAGAGUGACCAUAUGUGACACAUGAAGGGAAAGACACUGAUUAUGCUGGGACAGGCAUACUCUGAGGGGUGUCCUGAGCAAAUCAGACAUACAGUCACCCUAUGAUAGCUAUAAACAAAGUUAGUUUACUCAAUUCAAGCUGAGUUUCCUCAAGACAUUGAAAAGCAAUGCCUUACAUUUUAAAACACUUUCUUCUUGUAACGAGGACUUUCAUGAAAUGCUAACUGGAAUGAUUAAGUAUUGGCACUACUGAGCCGUAUUCCUUCAAAGAAACAGAGGCCAAAAAAGGAAAAAAAAUAUAAACGUACAUUAAGCUCAACUUUGGAUUCCAUGAGGCGAGGAUGGUCUGCACAGUCCACCAGAAAGACAAUCCCAUUAAUGGCGGGGAGGUAAUUUUUCCAAACCCGACGUGCUAAAAGACAAAGUUUGUAGCUGCAUCAAUUAAAAAAUAGAUAUAUUUUGAAAUCAAAUAACCUAAUGGUCUAUAAAGUAGGAAAAUCUUGGCCAGGUUUCAAUAGCAUUAGACUUCAUAUGGAUUCUCCAAGUCCUAGCCAGUAUUAAGUCAGAACAGAGGGUAUAAACUGAUGGUCCAUGAACUUAAUCUGAUUUUUUAAAAUUCGAAAAUCAGGGUUUUGUGCCUGAUUUUCUGAAAAUCCCAUGCCUACCUACUCACACAUCAAUAAUCAGCAGGAACUGAGUUGUGGCUGCCCCUUUAGACGAGGUCUGGGCUCUUCGGUUUGCCAAAGUUUCCACCACUCCCUACUGUCUUCUACACUCAAUGUCACUCACGUAAAUGACCUACCUCACCCCUCGGGUCAAUUCAGUUUGCAACCUCUGAGUUAAAAUAUCAGGAUACAAAUUGUCCAUAUAACUUUAGUCCCAAGUUAGUUCCUGCCUAACCAGUAUAUAACUUAUCCACUCAGCCCUCAGGUACAUUGGGCCUGACAGGUGGUUGAAGUUCCCAGGCCAAUUACCUCAGCCUCCUAUAUUUAACCCAGUGUGCUCUAUACAUUUUUUUUGGUUUGACAUGAAGUGAUAAUGUUUUGGAAAGCAAUGCUUUAAUUAUAUAAUUUCUAAGCCACUCAUUUCUAGUCCUUUCAAUGGGCUGAAUACAGACGCAUCUCUACAUGAGACAGUUAACAAUGAUGGCCUGUGAAGCGCCGGACUGGGAAGGAGAGCGGGAGGAACUUUCACUCUUCCCUUCCCUAUCUAUAUACUGAUUGUCGACUGAAUUUGUUAUAUUGACCCUGGACUACUUCUAUAAAUUAAAUUUUUUAAGUUAUACAAAAAAAAGGAAACCUCCAAAUGUACUCUAGUCAGCAUUGUAGCCACUUCUGUAAAACAGUGGCGAGGUUAUGAUGAAAAAGUGUUUCUGUAAGUAACUCUUCCUCAAACAAAACAACACUACAUACAUCAACACAUUUCCCUUGUUAGUCUAUCAAAAGCUGAAAGCUAAAUUUAUCACACCAAAUAAUACACAAUUCUCAGUUCAGGUGUCUUAAAAACACCUACUCCUGCAUUCUCCAGAUGGUCUAUAUGCAACUUACAAUUGUAUUACCUCUGAAUUUAAAUUUGUAAGCAGUUAUAAAUCCUUUUGAAAGAAGCAGAAAAGACACCAUACAGCCACUCCUAUCCAAAUGAAAAUAAUACAAUCUCAUCAUAGAAAAAAAGGAAGUAAGAUAAUCUAUAAUCCUCCAUCAAAACACAGUCACUGCUAAUGUUUCUGUAUAUUUUCUUUCAAUCUUUUUUCUGUACAGGUAUUUUAUGUGAUUGUGAUCAUACUACAUAUAUGUAGGAUAUAAAUAUUCAAUAAAAUAAAUAUAAUUAUAUGUUAACGAAAUCACUGACUAUAAAAUUACUUGGACCGCUUCUCAGCCUUUUGGCCAAAAUUAUUUGGCUGAAUGAUUAAAAUUACCAAUAUUCUCUUUUUUUAACUCUAUUUUUAAAAAACUAUAUUAGAUUAAACCUAAUAUAAUGCUUCAAAUGCUCUCAACUCAAUUUAAAAACAAAUGAAUAAAUCUGACAGAAUCUGAAUAGUUUCUUUUUUCUACUUUCCCAAAAUAUUUAUCCCCGCAUCUUAAAUGUUUUACGCCUAAGCCUAGAGUCUUGCCAAAUGUAAAGUGAGUGUCCAUCACAUAAAGAUGCCUCAUUCUGUGUAUCUCUAAAACACAUACAAGACACCUAAGAGGAGCCUGGGAAGCAGACAGACACACCUGAGUAAGGCAAAAGCACUGGAGGAGAACAAGAAGGCAGAAGCAAAUGCUCCCCAACUGCUCCAAACAGGGAGAGCACACAAAAUAUCGAUUUACAUCAGUGUCACAAGUAGUCACUGUAUUAUUCUCGCAACUUUUGACAAGUCUGAAACUACUUACAAAGAAUAACAAUUUUCUACAUAUUUAUACUCCAUUAAUAAAGAAUACAAAAGAGACGAUUAAAUGUGAUGUGUGAUAUUGUACUGGAUCUUGAUUAAGAGGAAAAAUGCUAUAAGGGAGAUCAUUGGGACAAUCGACAAAAAAGGAGUAUACACUAUACAGUAGAUAAAAAUAAAACCACUUGGGUUUGAUAACCGUUAUGACUAUAUAGGGAAUAUUCUUGUUCUUAGGAAAUAUGCAUUAAAGAAUUAAGGAAUAAAAGAGUAUGAUGAAUUCAGAAAUGUUUGAAGAAAAAUAAUAUUAACAUGCAUUGUAUAAAGAGAGAGACUAAUAAAUCUGGGCAAAAAGUAUAAAGGAGUAGAUUUCUCUGUAUUAAUUAUGCAACUUUCAACAAAUUUGAAAUUACUUAAAAAUAAGUGAAUAAAACAAUUUCAUUAAAGGAA